GUGAAUGAUUGCUUGUCUGUUUUCUCAUAGUAGUUUUCUGAAUGGUAGGUAUUUGUCUUCAUUACAGUGUUGUGAUUCUGUUCAUCUUCAUUGUGUUACUGUGGGUCUGGUCAUCUUCAUGGUAAUGUUGUGAAUGAUAUCUUGAAUGCUGAAGUGUUGUGAAUGGUAGCCCUGGUGUUGCAUCAAUGAGGAGUGCUCCCUCUGCUGAUCAAAUUGGAACAUCACAUUUUUUCACCUUCUCCCCCUUUCUUCCCUUUUCACUGGUCUAACUCCCUCUCUCCCCCUCUCUCCCAUCGGUCACCCCCCCUCCUCUGUCUCACACCCACCCACCCACACGAAUGCAGAUGGAUUGGGAGACCACCGUGAAGAAGCUUCCUUCCAUCAAAGAGGACGAGGAAGGGUCAGAGGAGAAUCGAAACUCGCCCCUUCCCAAAAUGUCCCGUACCCCUCUAGGUCUGGGGCGUGGACUGAGCUCCCCACUGCGCUCCCCGCUGCGCUCGCCCCUGUUGCCCCCGCGCGGCCCCUUCCGCACGCCCACCGACCGCCACACCCAGCGGCCCACCAACCUGAAUAUCCCUGCGGUGAGCUUCAGCUGCGCCCCCCCGGACCUCAGUCCCAGGUUUGUGGAUGGGAUUGAGACCGACAGUGGUCGCAGUUUGGGCCAGAAGUUUGACUUCAGUCCCAGCGUGACCCAGUUAUUUCCAUCAAGCCCUAAUCCAGGUUCAAAACCCUUCAUACCCCUGAACAUAACACAUAACACACAGUUGCAAUGUCCUGUUCAUCAAUAUCCCUUUGAUCUAGAUGUGAACGCACAUAUGUUAUAUUUAAAAUCAAUUCAUAAAUCUUUAAAAGUCGACUGACCUUGCUCUCUUUCCUGCUUCUCUCUCCCUGUCUCUGUAUGUCUGUAGGAAUACUGAAUGAUUCAGACACCAUGCAGACUAUUGCCACUCUGAAAGAAGAGGUGAGUCACACUGAUGGAUAACUGUACAUUCUAGACUGGGUUUGAAUGGUCAUUCUCUAAAACAUCUCUAUCUGCCUCUCUCCUCCCUGGUCUUCUCCUUCUCCCUGCCCCUCCCCCUCCCUCCUCUUCUACCUGCUUCCCCAUGUCUCACCUCUGCCCCAGAUGACCAGCCUAUCCCACCAGGUGUCCCAGGUGGUCCAUGACCUCCAGGAGAUGACACAGCUGCUGAGGCCCCUCCUCCAGCCCCUCCAGUGUCCCUCCCAGUCCGUCCUCUCAUCCCUGAUGGCUGCUCUGUCUCCACCCACUAUCAGUGGCCACGCCCCUCCGCCGGACACACGCCCCUUCGACUCCACCUCACCGCGUGUGAAAGACACAGGGAUGUGGAGGGAGAGGAGACACUCGGACCCCCAUUUUAAGCCACCAAUUGGGGGCGUGCUCCCCACCCGCUCGGCUUCUACAGGGGCCAAGCCGUCCCCCACCGGCCCUGUUCAGCUCAGCUUCAUUGACGAGGAGAGACCCAUCAUCUGAGGGCCAAGUAGAAGUCAAUGCUAGGCCAGAUUUUCCUCACUGACAGUUAAGUAUGGGAUUGGGAGAGCCUAGGACAGGCAGAGACUGGCAUUAGAGAAUGGCAUCAGAGACUAACAUCAUAGACUGGCAUCGGAGAUCGGCUGGCACAUCACUGCAUGCGGCACAUGCCCAUGACUAACGCAGGUCACUAUUUCUGGAAUACUUAGAGGCCAGGAGAUAUUUAUCAUUAAAAAAUCUAUGUAUUAUUAAUAUUAAAUAUAUUAUUCAAUGUUAUGUCAUGAGAAGUUGUUACACAUCAUCUACCACUGGAU
ensembl:lncRNA